rnacentral:rRNA from 1 species
CAGUAGCCGCGGUAAAACGGAGGGGGCUAGCGUUGUUCGGAAUUACUGGGCGUAAAGCGCACGUAGGCGGCUUGGUAAGUUAGAGGUGAAAGCCCGGAGCUCAACUCCGGAAUUGCCUUUAAGACUGCCGAGCUAGUAGGUGAGAGAGGUAAGUGGAAUUCCGAGUGUAGAGGUGAAAUUCGUAGAUAUUCGGAAGAACACCAGUGGCGAAGGCGGCUUACUGGCUCAUUCUAGACGCUGAGGUGCGAAAGCGUGGGGAGCAAACAGGAUUAGAUACCCCGGUAGUCCCUGUCUCUUAUAC